rnacentral:siRNA from 1 species
UAUAGUUUCUGGUGUACGCUA